AAAAUAAUUAUGAGGAAAAAAGGUGAAUUAUGAAUAAGAAAGGUAUUUUUAAAAGAAAAUUUUAAAAACAUGGGGUGAAAUUUAAAAAAAAAAAAGAAAAAUAAGGCCACUCGUCAGCGACCACGACAAACCAGAAAAUGUCAAAUGGCAGAGACGCUGACGCGGGAGGCCAUGUAUGCGAUCUGUGUGCAUGGGCGAUCCGACGGUCCAAAUUGCAUCCUACGCCCACGAACGACCCAUAUACAUUUUUUUAAACGCGAUCACACAGACGAGAUCAAUUACAAUGAACGGUCCAGAUUCGCCCACGCAAUCAGUCUAAACAGAUAAUGAUCGGACGACUUUUCUCACUUCACAUCGACGCAGAUGGACAGCCCAGAUAAGUGGGAAGAAAGGUAUUUAAACUUCUCUUCAGUUGGCCCUAAACUGUAGCUAACACCCAGCUGGAGAAGAAAAAGAAGGAGGCAGCUGGAGGAAAGACUAGCCCCCAGAGGGACACCGCUGCUGUCGCACCAGAGCCACCACCAACUGCCGAGAAAGGUUAGCCAAAGAGGAAUCCUAGCUGCGAAGGAGGACUGACAGAGCCCCGCACUCGGAGACCCUCCACCCCUCUGCUGAUGAAGACAGGAAGGCAAGAAGGUUUAAAUGGGGUCAUCGUCCUAAGAGCAGACAACAGUUGUAUGUCUUCGAGCAUGACACUUAUUUAGCGGUCCUAUCUGAGGCACAAUUGAUAAAGAGUAACCUCCGCAUUUUUUCCCCAGCAGUGGGCAACUCCAGGCCUCCAGUUUUGCAUUGUAGGCCAACACCUAUUGCACUGAACCAGUAGAACAAGAUACCAAGGACUGUAACUCAGGCUCCUCCCCAGGCCUCGAUAGUAGGAUGUGGCAAGAUUUACCAGCACUAUGGUAAGGAUCAUGGAGACCGACUUUACUAUCGUCUCAACAACACUUGCCACUUAUACGGAAGUGUCCAGUACUACGUGAUAGAGUGUCUGUGGAAUCAAAAUUAGACCAGAUCUGCGGUCCAGAGCAUAGUCUAUACACUCACCCAACAAGAUGUUGAGGCCAACCCGGAUGUGAUAUAGGAUACGUAUACUAUCUGCAAUCAUCUUGCACAUAUUUUGAUUGAUAUUGAUGCUUCACAUUCUUUUGUUUCAAAUAUUUUUACCUAAAAUUUAAAUGUGUUACCUGAAAGUAUUGAUUCUAUAUUAUUUGUAUCUACAUUUAGGAAUAUGACAUUACUGGAGAAUAUUAUAUAUAAAGCUUGUAUUAUAGAGAUAACAGGUAGGGAAUUGAGCAUAGAUGUGAUAGCACUUGACACGAGGGAUUUUGAGUAAUUUUGGGGAUGAAUUAUUUAGCAGUGUAUUACGCUUUGGUGAAUUAUUAUCACAAGAGCUUGUAUUCAACAUUUUUAAUGAAAAGUUUUUCACUAAUUAAUAAAAUCUUAGAUAUAGUUGACACCUAGUAACUACAUUAUCUAUUAAAUGCAAUUAACUUAACUAUUCUUUUCUACGUUAGACAAGCCUAAGAAAGAUAUUUGCAUUCAAGGUAUCCUUAUUGUCUGAACUUUUUCUGACGUGUUCCUUGAUGAACUCUUAAGGCUACUAGUAAAUCAAAAAGUUAAAAUUACCAUAGAUCUUCAACUUGGCACCCAACCUAUCUUGGUUGCCCCAUACCGAAUGAGCCGUGUUAAAAUAGAAGAACUGAGAAAAUAGAUCAAAAAGUUAUAGGAUAAUAGGUUCAUCAGACAUAACAUAUCCCCUUAGGGUGCAGGUGUCACGUUCGCAAGAAAAAGUGAUGGGUCCUUAAGGUUUUGUAUAGACUUUAAAGAACUGAAUAAGGUCACAAUCAAGAACAAGUACCUCAUUCCUAGGAUUAAUGAUCAUUUUGAUCAGUUACAAGGUGCCCAAAUUUUCUCCAAGAUCGACCUGCGUUCAGGAUACCAUCAGGUGAAAAUCAAAACAGAUGAUAUUUCUAAGAUGGCCUUCAGGACUCGAUAUGGGUAUUAUGAGUUCCUUGUUAUGCCAUUCGGAUUGACUAAUGCUCCUACAAGUUUUAUGGAUUUAAUAAACAGGAUUUUCAGGUCAUUAUUGGAUCAAUUUGUCAUAAUUUUCAUUGAUGAUAUCUUAUUUUACUCUAAGAGGAAAGAGAAACACGCUCAAUAUCUAACUCAGGUCUUACAGGUUCUAAGAAAAAAGAAACUAUAUACAAAGUUAAAUAAGUGUUGAUUUUGGCUUGAGCAUACUUCCUUUAUAAGACACAUGGUAUCAAAAGAUGGAGUAUUUACAAAUUCGGACAAGAUUAAUACAAUGAUUGGUUAGAAGCAGUUGACAUUAGUUAAGGAAAUUAGAAGCUUCUGGGAUAUGACAGGUUUUUAGAAGGGUUCUCAAGUAUAGUAACCUCCUUGACACGACUUAUGAAAAAAAAUAUCAAGUUCGAGUGGAAUGAGGAAUGUGAGAAGAGCUUUACAAAACUUAAAGAACAACUAAUUACCGCACCAGUGUUGGCUCUACCGAAUGGAACAGGUGGGUAUACAGUAUACAGUGAUGGAUCCUACUAAGGAUUUAGUUGCGUUUUGAUGUAGCACGGGAAAGUCAUAACUUAUGGGUCUAGGUACUUGAAAGUUCAUGAAAAGAAUUAUCUCAUCCACGACUUGGAGCUUGUUGCCAUUAUCCAGCCAUUGAAGACCUAACGUCAUUACUUAUAUGGGAAAACAUUCGAAAUUUAUAUGGACCAUAAGAGCCUAAAGCAUAUAUUUACCUAGAAGGAUCUCUACAUGUGUUAGAUAUAACUUCUUAAAAAUUACGAUUGUAAGAUCUUGUACCACCCUAGCAAGAAUAAUGUGGUAGCUGAUGCUCUCAGCUGGAAGAAUGCAGAUAUGUUAGCUCAUAUCAUGGUCUUUGAGUGCAGGAUGAUAAAGGUAACCCAGCAGAUACAACUCUAAGACUUGAAAAGGCCACAUGUCUAGCUCACUUAACAGUCCAACCCGAGUUAAUCCUGAAAAUAAAGGAGGCUCAAUUAGCCAAUUCCACUCUAGACACUCUCAGAAAGGAUACAGAACAUGGUUUGAAUUUAGAGUU